AUAGCGAGAAAGAACCAACAGGGAUUGCCUCAGUAACGGCGAGUGAAGCGGCAACAGCUCAAAUUUUAAAGCUGGCGUCCUCGACGCCCGCGUUGUAAUUUGGAGAGGCAUCUUCGGUUUGGGCGCCAGCCUAUGUUCCUUGGAACAGGACGUCACAGAGGGUGAGAAUCCCGUGCUUGGCUGGCUGUCCCUCUCCAUGUGAAGUGUCUUCGACGAGUCGAGUUGUUUGGGAAUGCAGCUCAAAAUGGGUGGUAAAUUUCAUCUAAAGCUAAAUAUUGGCGGGAGACCGAUAGCGCACAAGUAGAGUGAUCGAAAGAUGAAAAGCACUUUGAAAAUAGAGUUAAAAAGUACGUGAAAUUGUUGAAAGGGAAGCGCUUGAGACCAGACUCGGCCGGAGACGAUCAGCGGUCCUUUUGGGCCGUGCACUCGUCCUCGGUCGGGCCAGCAUCGGUUGAGACGGCGGGAUAAAGGUCCGGGGAAUGUGGCUCCUUUCGGGGAGUGUUAUAGCCCCGGGCGCAAUGCCGCCAGCCUCGACCGAGGACCGCGCUUUUUUGCUAGGAUGCUGGCGUAAUGGUCUUCAGCGACCCGUCUUGAAACACGGACCAAGGAGUCUAACAUCUAUGCGAGUGUUUGGGUGUCAAACCCUUGCGCGUAAUGAAAGUGAACGUGGGUGGGAACCCCUCGUCAGGGGGGCGCACCAUCGACCGAUCCUGAUGUCUUCGGAUGGAUUUGAGUAGGAGCAUAGCUGUUGGGACCCGAAAGAUGGUGAACUAUGCCUGAAUAGGGUGAAGCCAGAGGAAACUCUGGUGGAGGCUCGCAGCGGUUCUGACGUGCAAAUCGAUCGUCAAAUUUGGGUAUAGGGGCGAAAGACUAAUCGAACCAU
rnacentral:rRNA from 1 species